rnacentral:rRNA from 1 species
UACGGAGGAUGCAAGCGUUAUCCGGAAUUAUUGGGCGUAAAGCGUCCGCAGGUGGUUGGGCAAGUCUGCUGUCAAAGCGCGGAGCUUAACUCCGUACAGGCGGUGGGAACUGCACGACUGGAGUGCGGUAGGGGUAGAGGGAAUUCCCAGUGUAGCGGUGAAAAUGCGUAGAUAUCUGGAGGAACACCGGUGGCGAAGGCGGCAUCCUGGACCGAUACUGACGCUGAGGAGCGAAAAGCCAGGGGGAGCAAACGGG